AGCUGCUUCCAACCUGACGGCAGAUGCUGCUGGCACUUGGUCCCCUUCACCCGCGGCUAGCGAGGGUGCAUGCGCAGUUGCAUUAGACAGUUUUCGACAUACCUUCUCAGAUGGAGUCUUACUCUGUCACCCAGGCUGGAGUCCAGUGGCAUGACCUCAGCUCAUUGCAACCUCUGCCCCACCCGGGUUCAAGCGAUUCUCCUGCCUCAGCCUCCUGAGUAGCUGGGAUUACAGGAGAGACAGAACAGCUGAGGAAACAGCAGAACGGUGGAAAAUUUUUGAAAGUGUUUUGAGCCCACCCAACCUGAGGAGAGCAUUCAAAGAAAAACAGGAAGAAGCCUCUGGCAUCCUGAGCAGUCAACCCCUCCCAUUCUGAGCUCUUUCCACUGACCUCAGAAGAAGGCUGGCUCAAAUAACACACUUGUCAAAACACCUAGGAAACCAUGAGUUUGGCACAUGAUGAGAAAAUUGGGCUCAAAGAGGACAGGAUUUUCCCAUUAUGGAACAACUAAUAGGAUUCACAGGCCUCUUGAUGUUACAUGUCACAUUCAUAUCACUGGAUGAUAUAUCAGAAGGAUAGUUCUCUGAUCCAAUAUCCAUGUUGGUGUAUGUAAAUGAUGAGCUUUCCUGCACUACAAAAGCAUUUUAUAAUUAAAGAGAAUUUUUCCUCAAUUCAGAAAGGUAACUAUAGAUAAUUAUAUAUAUCAUACCUGAAAGGGUAAAGGAACGUUUACAGAUUACUUUGUGUCUUUUGAAUUUUUAAAAAUGAAGGUUUGCAAACCAAAAAUAAAAUUCUAAGCCCCCGACCAUCUGAGUGGACCCCUCCUUUCAGCAAGGGCAUUCCAAAGCUAACCUGAAAA
rnacentral:lncRNA from 10 species